AGUAUGAUGGGAAUGGGAAAAAAGACAUUUCCCUAAAAAGCUUUGGCUACAAAUUCGGUGCUUUGUUGUUGCUAAGUUAGAUUCAUGUCAUCAUUUGAACCCAAAGGAAGAUAAGGCCUAUGACUGCAUAGGACACAGCAAAUGCAAAUAAAAGUCAUGGAAAGUUUAAGUUUGAUGCAUCAGAGGGAGAAGAGCAACCCGAGAUGUAGUGGAUUCAAGAGGGAUACCCUAAUCAUUAUAGCAAUUACCACAUGUAGUUUAUAAAAUAUUUUUUAUGAGCAGUUGGAGAACAAUUAGUUGAAAGGAUUGUUGCGACUCUCGGGGUGCGUACAACCAAGAUACUUGAGUUUUUCCACUAGCAAUUCACAACCCACUUUUGAAUACCUUUUUCGCUGUGAGAACGGUGCUACCAAUAAACUCAUAUUAUAACCGAAAAUUUUAUGAAAUAUCAACUAUGUCGUCUUCGCAUAUUGUAUAAUCGGGAUGUUUAUGCUUUUGUUGGUCAUGGGCUAGGGUUAGAAAUAUCAACUAUGUUUUUGUUGGUCACAGCGUAUCGGGAAAGGCUUAUCCUGUUAUCCAAUUGGGUCAAAACUCUACAUCAAAGAAGUGGACGUGAGAACGUGAUUUUUCCCUUGGUACUCUCCCUUUCUUUCCCACUGUUAACUUGUUCUUUGUGGCCAAAUGGGGCCCUUCCACUCUUCCUUGCCCAAAAUGGGCUUUUUGGGUGCUUUACUUUGGCCACAUGGGGACCAUCCUCAAUGAACCCCUCUAUUGGAGUAGGGUAAUACAACCAAUUCUAUAUUAUGCUACUUCAGAUUAAUUACUUUAGUUACAAGUCUCUUAUUCACUUAAAAUAUAACCCUUUAGUUAGGACCUUUCAUUGCUAGAAUAAAUACUUUUAACCAUUUGAGUUACAAGCUUGCUAGAAAUACUUGAUCCGUUAGAAUCGUUUAACAUGGAUGUUAAUUGCAUGCACAUGCUUUCAUGUUCCAAUGAUAUAAAUGUUUUGCACCAUUUGGGUUUGUUUUGGCUAAUUACUUGAGCUACAAGCCUUUUGCUUGCCCAAAACAUGAAAUAUUUGAAGUCCUUUGAUUAGGAUCUUCAGUGGCUGGGAUGAAUGCUUUUAACCAUUUUAGCUGCGAGUUACUUUCUAAGAACAUAAAUUUUUUGGAAUCCCUUCAUAAGGAAUUAGUUAUUUGCAUGCACAUGACUCAUGUUCCAAAUUAAUAUAAACUUUUGCAGCAUUUGGGUUGGCUUUGCAUAAAACAUGAUUAAGUAUGCUAGUCUUUGGCACAUGUUUGCAGUGGCUUUCAAUUCACUCCACUAGCUACCAUCUUUCAAGUCAUGAUCUACACUUAAUUACUUCUAAACUCAAAAGGUCUAAUUAUUAUAUGGUUAUUAGGGAAAGGAUUAUCAAGGAAUAUUAUGAAGAUGGGUUGGACAAGAAGGAAAAUUCUAAUGGGAAGUUCUAUAUAUAGUAAAUUAUUAAUUAAACAUUGUUGGUAAAGAACGACGGCGGUCACUAAUACAACUAAUUAAUCAUUGUAACACCAAUUUGCUUAUUGCUUUGUUUCUUUCACCUUUAAUUUCAUACAUUCUUUUUCUUUUGAAGGAAAAAGAAGCAAAAUAUAUAUUCAAUGAGAGCAUAUACAUGACACUAUUUUUUAUAUACGUUUUUGUGGGUUUACUCUGUAAUGUAUCUUAACGAUUCAAAUCUUCUAUUUUUUAGAACAUGAUUCAUAGGUUAUCUUUGCAAAAAUUUAGACAAAUCCAAAACUAUUAAGACAUUCAUUUAUAGUGAAGAAAAUUAACGAAUGUGGUUCUACAAAAAAAAAUAAAAAUCUAAACACUUAAUUCAACUGCCACAUCGUUUCAAAUUUGGGUGAUUUUGUUAAACAUAAUCUUUAAGGGAAGACCUAAAAAAUAGAUUAUUCAGAUCUUUGAAAUACAUUAUGGAGUAGAACUCAUAAAAGUAAAAAAUUGUAUAAAAAAAAUAAUACCACAUAUUCGUCCAUGUUUAAUUAGUGUUAGCAAAAGAUGAAGCGGCACAACUUGACGGAAAAAAGUGGCAAAUAAUAUCCAUAAAUGAUCAGGUGUGAUAAAAGUAGGAACCAUUAAAAAAAAACACUAUUCUAGCUAGCUAGCCUUGUUGAUGGGUCACAUUCAAGUAAAUUACCUCUAGAUCCCACAUGAAAAAUCAAUAAUUUGAAAAGGAGAAAAAGAGAAAAAAUAAUCAUUAAUUCCAUGAGGUUGAUUGACAUGAGUCUUAAAUUGUUCUUGGUGGGCUCCUUGAAAAUUAAUGUGAUGCAUAAUUUUUUUUCGGAUUUGGAUCCUCUCCUGAGCUAAUGGAGAGAUCCUCCUGACCAGUUAUUAUGA
rnacentral:lncRNA from 1 species